rnacentral:rRNA from 1 species
GAGUUUGAUCCUGGCUCAGAACGAACGCUGGCGGCAGGCUUAACGCAUGCAAGUCGAACGGUUGUAGCAAUACAGCAGUGGCGCACGGGUGAGUAACACGUGGAUAUCUGCCUUUUGGUUCGGAAUAACCCUGGGAAACUAGGGCUAAUACCGAAUGGUUCCUACGGGAUAAAGAUUUAUCGCCAAAAGAUGAGUCCGCGUACGAUUAGCUAGUUGGUGAGGUAAUGGCUCACCAAGGCGACGAUCGUUAGCUGGUCUGAGAGGACGAUCAGCCACACUGGGACUGAGACACGGCCCAGACUCCUACGGGAGGCAGCAGUGGGGAAUAUUGGACAAUGGGGGCAACCCUGAUCCAGCCAUGCCGCGUGAGUGAUGAAGGCCUUCGGGUUGUAAG